AAGUCGUAACAAGGUAACCGUAGGUGAACCUGCGGUUGGAUCAUUAUUGAAAUUUUAAUAAUCUUCUAGCAGUUUACUGUUAGAUUAUUAAACCACACCUUGUGAAUUUAUACUAGUCUUUGGAGUUACUUGAUAGGAUUUUUUCCUAUAGAUGAGAACUCCUAUUUAUUAAAACAUUUAUUAUUUUCUAAUUGAGCCUUAAAAGAUUUCUAAAAAAUCAUAAGAAAAACUUUUGACAAUGGAUCUCUUGGCUCUC
rnacentral:misc_RNA from 1 species